rnacentral:rRNA from 1 species
AUUGAACGCUGGCGGCAGGCCUAACACAUGCAAGUCGAGCGGAUGAAGGGAGCUUGCUCCUGGAUUCAGCGGCGGACGGGUGAGUAAUGCCUAGGAAUCUGCCUGGUAGUGGGGGAUAACGUCCGGAAAGGGCGCUUAUUCCGCAUACGUCCUGGGGGAGGAAGGGGGGGGUCUUUGGACCUCACGCCUUUCGAUGAGCCUAGGUCGGAUUAGCUAGUUGGUGGGGUAAAGGCCUACCAAGGCGACGAUCCGUAACUGGUCUGAGAGGAUGAUCAGUCACACUGGAACUGAGACACGGUCCAGACUCCUACGGGAGGCAGCAGUGGGGAAUAUUGGACAAUGGGCGAAAGCCUGAUCCAGCCAUGCCGCGUGUGUGAAGAAGGUCUUCGGAUUGUAAAGCACUUUAAGUUGGGAGGAAGGGCAGUAAGUUAAUACCUUGCUGUUUUGACGUUACCAACAGAAUAAGCACCGGCUAACUUCGUG